UGGUCGCCAUGGCGCGGUGUCACCCCGCCGCCACCUCAGCCAAGCGCUGCGCCGCCCCUCCAAACCCUAGCCCACCCCCUCCGCCCGCCGACGGAUCGCUUCUGCUCCUCCACGCGGCGAGCCGCGGCGACCUCCGCCUCUUCAAGAGGCUGGUGAGAGAUCUGGAUCAGGGCAGGGGCCGUCCCAGGGAGGUGGUGGAGGUGGCCAAGGACCAAGGUCUCGUGGCGCUGCACUUCGCUGCCGGGAAGGGAAGGCCAUAGGUGUGCAGGUACCUGGUCGAGGAGCUAGGGGUCGAUGUGGACGCCGUCGACGAUGGAGGCACCGGCACCCGGCGGUGCGCUCUCCGGGACUCUGCCACUUGAAGGGGCGAGGAGGAGCUACGGAUGCUAGCGAUUAACAACGUUGUGCAGAAGGCAAGCGCAGGACACUAUUUUGGAUUGGCUUAUAUUUUUCAGGCAAAGUUGUUCGUUUUAUUAACAUGGCAAAGUUCAGACAUUGAUGCAAAACAAAGACUAUUGUCAAGAAUUGUUCAAAUGAGACAGUAGCUGUUGGAACAAUAUCUACUUGCAUAACACACUUUCAGGUAGCAGCUUUGAUUCAUCUAUAUUUAAAUUUUCCAUUCAGGUCAUUUUCCACAGAUAUCCACUGUUGGUUUCUUUCUUUAUUACUACUGUCAAGAAGUGUUCAAAUGUGGCAGUAGGUGUUGUCAAAGAAGCAUAUCAUUUUGUGAUAACUCAAUAACCACCAGCAUUUAGUGCAUGGAUUUUUGUCUAUCAUUUUGUGUGAGAUCAAGCUACAUAAAUUGACACCAGUUUUAUAGGCGAAAAUACACAACCAUUUUUCUUGUUUUGCAGCACAUUAUGAUUCGUUCUGAGGAUGAUCCCCUAUAAGGAAGUUCCCAAGAUGUAUUGAAGUAGAUUCUUUUCAUUUGUUCAUAAUUGAAUCCCAAACAGGACAUUGUGAUAAUGGGUCUUCUCUUUGCUGGUUUUUGAUAGGGCCUUGACAAUUAAAUUACGUUCAUUUGUUUAGUUCUUCUCUGUAACUUAGGGAAACUACUGUUUUAUUCAGCAUUUUCGCUACACAAUAUCAUGUUGACACAUUCCAAAAUUUUGGUUGCAGCGGCUUGAAUUUUGAUUCUGAAUAUCUGAGUCCCCAAUAUUGUCUGCCUAGGAACUAUUCUCCUUAAGCAACCUAGAAACUUAUUCUGUUGAGAUAUUUUUUGUUGAUAUUGAAUUGUCGAAUCGGAAAUGUAGCAUGCAAAACUUUAAUGGUACUGCUGGGAUAUUUUUCGUUGACAUUGAACAAUCCAACUUCCUGUAACGCCUAUAUGAGGUAUUUCCUGAUUUUUACUUGCAUUUCUUGCAGUCCGGUAUGAAAUAUAGAGAGAAGAGAGGAUCUUGUAGUGAUUAUUCAAAAUUGUUCAAACUUUAGGUGUACAGGCUUGUGCUAAUUGAUUCUUCUAUUUAGUCUGAUAGCAUUUUUUUUGCAAGUGUAAAAUCUGGGGAGACAUGAGGAUGAUUUCUUGGCAGUGGUUGCUGUGAUAUUUAGCAAGAAAUAUUGAAGUGAAGAUGUAUCCGUUUUUUGUGUCAUAGGAGAACUUAAUCUGAAUGUCCGCUCUGCUAGGAAGUACUUAAUCCGUUCUUGUAAUUGUUGUUCUCCUGUAACAAUCUGUGGGUAUGGGCCUAAUUCAAUUGUUGGCUAAGCUAGGUUCUUCAUGGAUGCCAAGUUUAGUUGUUAAUUAACUAGGGGCAUGGUAACCUUCGUUGCUGUUAAGUAGAAGUGCAGUCAUGUACUUCCUCCGUUCCUAAAUAUAAGUCUUUGGAGAGAUUCCACUAUGGACCACAUACGGAGCAAAAUGAGUGAAUCUAUACUCUAAAAUGCAUCUAUAUACAUCCGUAUGUGGUCCAUAGUGAAAUCAUACAAAGACUUAUAUUUAGGAACGGAGGGAGUAGCUUUUAGUGCUGCUGGACAGGCUGGUCUGAACGUGCUAGAUAGAUUCAGUUAGAGGGGAUUCUUUUGGUAGUGCUUUUAGAAAAUGAACAUGUCUAUAUGUGUCCAAGCAAUUGAACUUGGGAGAGAGGUUAGUUCUGUAAAGAAUAUUCCUGUAGUUGCUUACACAUGACGAUUGCAACUGCUUCUUACCAUUGGAUAUCCUUUACUGCACAUCACUGACAUUGGUUCAGUUAAAACUGCACUAGCUGUCAGUUUGGGCAGCAAGCUUCUAGCUAAAAAAUGAGUUAGUUAUGCCUAAAUUUUCGAGUUGGCCUCUAUAUAUAAGUUGUAAAACAAGUUCCAAGGUUUCUCUAAAGUACUUUUUGUGUCGUUUGGAUGCACGGUUUGAGAGCAACCACCAACUUAGUUUGUUUUCUACAAAGUUAUUUUCUUGGGUGCAGUAUUUUUCAUAUGGUAGAUUAGGCCCUGUUAGAGAUUGAAUUGAAAUGAAGUUAAAACAUGAAAGUUUUGAAGGCUGUUCUAUUGAUACUGAAACACAUGUCAUUUGUUGUAUUUCGUUUUGUAUAUUAAAUCCUAUGAAAACAUUAAAGAGGGUUCUAUACUAUGUUGGAGAAAAUUUAAUGAUGCACAUGGUUCGAUGGAUGAAGAAUUACGUCAUCAAAUUGCUUCAACCUCGUGUGAAAAUUUAAUGUGAUAAAGUAGAUAUGAGCUGGGGUCUUGUGUGUAAGAGUAUGUGCGACGAGUCCAUCGUUGUAUUGAUUGUGAUAUAUGCUUCAUUAAGCAUAAUAUUAAGUGUUAAAACUUCAAUUGUGUAUAUACUUAGUGAUGCAAAUUCAAGAAUUAAGUGUCCAGGCAUGUCAUCAUUGAAGUGCUGCUGGAUAUUGUGCUUAUUUGUAUUUACCAGCAUUAACAGAAUUACUAAGACUAUUUCAUUAUUUCCUUCGUAGAAGACUGGAUAGUGUCUACAACAAUUGCACAUCAAUGCGGCCCAAAAAUUAGUCAAUUCGAGGUGGAUUUCACUCGUUCUCAAGAAGCACACCAUUCAAAAAUCAAUGUUUUUCCAGGAUGUUAGGAAUUUCUCAUCGCACAAGGAAAUAUGUGAGGAGAAUAACUAUUUUCUACCAUACAUCUAGCAUUUUUAUAUUUUGGUAGAUUCUAUAUUGUUGGGUACAACCAUGGGUACAGCUUGCAGAGGUAAAAAUCCCAAGCACCCCUCAUGCAAAGAGAAGGGUAAUCUCCUUUUUUGCGUACUGUAUGCCUUCCUACUUAUUUAUAUUGCAAUAAUAAUAUCCUACAAGUAUUCAGAAUAAGAGCAAUGUUUUUAUGAUUAUCUAGAAUUUUCAUUACUGAUGUUUGUUUAUUGGACUAUGUGUAUGUAUUCAGUCUUUCGCAAAACUCAGCCACAACUAUUAUUCAUGUUAGCUUUUUUUGAAUGUUGUUAUUAAUGUUAGCUUUGGAACUUUAGGUUUUGCACUCAGAUAUUCUUCAGGAAUUUCUCAUCGCACAAGGAAAUAUGUGAGGAGAAUCACUAUUUUCUACCAUAUAUCUAGCAUUUUUUCUAUUCCGGUAGAUUCUAUAUUGUUGGGUACAACCAUGGGUACGACUUGCAGAGGUAAAAAUCCCAAGCACCCUCAUGCAAAGAGAAGGGGAAUCUCCUUUUUUGUUGUAUUGUAUACCUUCUCUACUUAUUUAUAUUGCAAUAAUAAUAUCCCUAUAAGUAUUCGGAAUAAGAGCACUUUUUUAUGAUUAUCUAGAAUUUUCAUUACUGAUGUUUGUUUAUUGGACUAAGUGUAUGUAUUCAGUCAUUCGCAAAUACACAUGUGAUGUCAACUCAGCCACAACUAUUAUUCAUGUUAGCUUUUUCUGAAUGUUGUUAUUCAUGUUAGCUUUGGAACUUCAUGUUUUGCACUCAGAUAUUCUUCACGGUAGUUCCUUGGCAUCAUUAUGUUUUGCUGAUCCAAAAUUUACUAUUCUCCAUACUUUCAUGUUUCAUGUUGUUUCCAAUAUGGAAAUCUAGAAUUUUUACAUCAUGACAUUGUGCAAAAUGAUUCACUUGCAUGACAAAUCACCUCUCAUAUUUGGUGAGUUGUUUCUGAAAUCUGGAAUCAUUAAGCGUCCUUUUAGUCUUGUCCAUAUAAAUUGCCAAAUGAUGCCAGCUCUGUUCGAGUGGUUUAAAUUCUGAAGACUGAACUUUGUUUGCACCAUGUGUACAAAUCUCGAUUUCACUAAAAUGGGCUCCAUGUGAAUCUAAAUAAAAUGCUAAACUAAAACAAUAGGCUAAUUGAACUUGUGAUUUUGGAAAUCUUUUGGCCGAAGAAGCUUAUGAUACAGUGUACUGUAAACUGGUUGGUUAUUGAGAGGCCCUUUAUCUGUUUCUGUCCCAGGAGCAUGAUAGAGGUGAUUAUGUGGUAUUUGUGUUGUUCUUUACACUAACUAGAUGCAAGUGAUGUGUGUUAGUCUGCUUUUCAGUUUCUUCCCCACCUUUAUGUUGAAGGUAUUGUUGAUUAGUUGGCGAGGUUCAUGGAUAAGUUGUACUUCUGUCACAUUUGCGGUCUAUCAGUAUAAGCCUUUUCCACUUAGUUGUUGGCUGGACCAUAUAUUUAUUGCAUGAUGUAGACGAAUUUCUAUGAUUGUGAUUUAGACAAAAUAAAUAGUACACUAUAAGAUGGUACCUCAAAAGGGUGUGAUUCACCUUUAACUUCAUUAUCCACUUGCGCUUUCAGCACCGCAAAGCUCAUGCAAAGACCAUGAGGAGUAGCACAGAUGAACGGAACAGAAACGACAAUGGGGAGGAUAGCAACCAUACAAUCCAGGAGCCCUGAUCGCAAGCUGUGCUUCUGCCAUGUUAUCGGUGCUGGAGCGCCGUAUGAGGCGUUAUCUUGAUUAGUGUGUCUUGCAUGCCACCCAUUGCCUUGAGUCCACUGUAUAUUAAGGCUAUAAUGUUUUGUUUAUUCAGUGGAUUCUUGACCGUCCUGUAGCUAAUUCCAUCCAGUAAGUAAUACAGUUCGUCUAGGAAGUAUUUUGGUUUGGUGUGUAGUUUUGGGCCUGCUGUGUUGCCCUAUCUCUUUCUUGAAACUAGAUCUGCCAGGCUACCUUCGGUCAUGAUGGUUUGGCAGAGAUGCAAUAUGUAAAAUUACUGAGCUAAGUUGGGUUUGAUAAUGCGAUCAUAAAGAAGAUGCAGAAGGCAUUGUACAUGUGUACAGUAGGCACACAUUUGAAUGUCCUUUAAUCGCUAUGUGUUACAAUAGUGUGCAAGUACCGAGCCCUUUUCUGCUCAAAAGGAUAAUACAAUUUCCACCUUG